rnacentral:rRNA from 1 species
UAUGUGAUCGUCUCUCGCAUAUCAAUAAGCGGAGGAAAAGAAACUAACAAGGAUUCCCCUAGUAACGGCGAGUGAAGCGGGAAGAGCUCAAAUUUGAAAUCUUAAAGGGUUUCCCUUUACGAAUUGUAGUUUAAAGAAGUGUUUUCUGUUGAGGUUUUGGUAAAAGUUCUUUGGAAUAGGACAUCAUAGGGGGUGAGAAUCCCGUAUUUGACCUUUACUUUCAACUUUGUGAUACACUUUCAAAGAGUCGGAUUGUUUGGGAAUGCAGUCCAAAAUGGGUGGUAAAUUUCAUCUAAAGCUAAAUAUUGGCGAGAGACCGAUAGCGAACAAGUACCGUGAGGGAAAGAUGAAAAGAACUUUGAAAAGAGAGUUAAACAGUACGUGAAAUUGUCAAAAGGGAAGCGUUUGACACCAGUGUUGUUUUUCUGAAAAUCAAUUAAAGAACUGUUUACUGCUAAGUUGUUUAGACUUUAUCAGCUAUCUGCUUAGUUUUGAGCUUUUCUUUAAUGCACUUUUCAGUUAACAAGUCAACAUCAAUUUCUUUUGCUGUAAAAAAGCUUGAGGAAGGUGGCUUGAGAUUCGUCUUAAGUGUUUAUAGCCUCUUGCCUAUGCAGUCGGAGAGAUUGAGGUCUGCAGCGUAGAUCCUUCGGGGCUAAAUGCAUUUGUGCUAAGUUAUAGCAUUUUAUAGACAACUUGUUGACUAUGAUUUGUCUUGUAGCUUACUCGCUUAUGUUAUUUUACCUACGCUUAGGAUGUUGAAGUCAUCGUACGCGC